rnacentral:lncRNA from 1 species
CACGCAUCUCCCCCAGGCACUGCUGGGAUACAAUGACUUCACAACGCACUGAAGUUGAAUUUCCUCGAGUUUGGUGGCAAAGUGCAGAAGCAGAAGAAUGGAUCUCCUACAGGCUGGCUGCUCCCUGUUACAAACUGCACAGUGAGCCUGGAGAACACCAGCAGCAGUCACCCUGCGAUGGCAGCAGACACACUGCUGCAGGCUGCCAGCCCUGGGAUCUCCUCGGGCCAUGACCCAGCCCCGUCCCCAAAGAACACUGCUCCAAACUGGGUGUGGAACAGCUUCAGGGCCAGGCUGCUCCUUCAGCCCCAGGAGCACUGGGAUGUGGCUGGGAGGGCCACCAGGAUGCAGCACAGCCAGUGACACUGGUGACAACCCACAAGGCAGUCCUGUUGCAUCCAGUCCUGCUAUGAAAACCAAUGGGAUCUAAAGAUGAGUGUGCGCUGUGGCCGGAACCAACAGGCUGGGCUGGUGUUAUCUGAGCCAUCAGGACUCAGCCAAACACUUCUACUGAUUCUUUCUUUAUUUCCAAUGAAAGAUUAGAAACAUCACACGAGGUGUUUCUGAUUUUGCCUCUUGCUUCAUGACUGCGUAGAUCUACCUUCCAUGCAGAGCAACCGACUGCCUCAGUUCCCAAAAUACACACCCAAAACAUUAGCUCUCCUUUCCUUGUGCUGUAACAGGCGGCCCGCUGGAGCUGCGCGCCCCAAUACCAACCGUGAACAACAUUUCAGCCCCAAAUCCCAAAGAGCAGCAAGUACGCAGAAAGAAACAUCCUGCCAAGAAGUCCCUGCGGGGCUGAUGGCUACAGCUGCACAGAGCAGCACAGAUGACACUGGCACCAGUGGGUGACUUUGGUGUGAAGCAAGCAGCAGUAAGCCAAGCCCAGCUCGGCGGGAUCCUCCGCUCCAGCGCACACCCUGGUGGCUGUCAUUUACCCUGGGACAAAUCUGGCCAAGGCUCUUUAUCCCAGUGCUGCAACACGUCUGAGACGUCCAGUUGGCUGCACGGCUAUGCUGCAAAGCUGACCCCCAGAUACGCCACUCAGGUUAACAAGUUGAAGCGCAGCAGGGUGUUAUUUGAGUUCAUACCGCUCAAAAAAAAUACAUGCCGUAAGUGACAGAGCCUCCAGAGCCCUGUGCCACCCGACAUC